GGGUCCUUUCUCGAGGUAGGUCAAUUUACUCUUUCUUCUCGCCUCUUUAGUUCGCUUAUUUCCUAGCUUUUAUAUUAACUCCCUAGCCGCUCUUGCAGAUUAGACACCAGCUCAUCGCCAACAUCGAGGCGAUGAACAAUGCUAGGAAGGAUGCCACCCAGGCGGAGGAAGGUCGUCUGACUGAGGCCGUCUGCCCCAAGGAGAAGAUUGCCGAAGUCGCGAG
rnacentral:lncRNA from 1 species